GGGUCCUUCUGCGCCUGGACUGUCUCAUCAGCCCUGGAUUUUCACUUUCCCUGAACAGAUCUGGAGGUCUCCUCGGGUGUCAGAUCCAAGCACAGAGCAAAUAUUCCCUCAUCUCUGCUCUGACCAUGCCACAGUCGCUAACUGUCCCCAGGACCCAUCCUGUGGGCUGGGCUCCCACACCACGGCUUGUCCCGGCGUCAGCCCUCCGGCCGGGGCCGAGACACCCGCCUGUGCCCCACGUGGCCCCGCGAAGCCCGCGCGCCCCACGGCCUGCCCACGCUGCGCUGCGGGGAGCACCCUCUUCAGCGCCCUCAUGCCCAGCGCUUCGUCGACGCCCUGCAAGCAGGACUGCCCUUCUGCAGGAAUGGGAAUGUCAAGUGCUUAAGAGCUAAGUUAAAACAGCACAGGGCAGAGCAGGUCCCUGCCCAGGCACCGGUGGCUCCUGCAAGCCGGGGGUGUGGGAGGCAGCGGCGAACGCAAGACACAGCCAGGCUUUUCUUCGAACGAUCCUAGACAGUCCACCAGCCCUGGCCCCAAAUCCUACCGAGGCACAGACACUGCGCCGCAUUCCUGCGAGCUCUGCGGCUGCUCUUCCCGAAGCAGAGCCACCGGGACGGCUCCGGGCUGCCAGCUGCCCGGCACGCCGAGGCGCUCCCAGCCUGCCUUAAGCGCAGAGCA